UCCGGAGGGGGCCUCGCACCGGACUGCCGCGGGUGCUGAACGUGUGGAGCUAUCCAUGGUUCUGAAUCCGACUCAGCAGUUGGCAACUCUUCUCUGCCUACAACCAACCAGGGACAAUAGAACUACAAACUCAGAUGUGAAAACUAAAGGUGAAAAGGGUUAAGAAACUUAACCAAGAUUUCAUAGCUAGCAUGUGGCAGAACUAUGAGCUGGCACCACAGAGAAGGAGAAGGAAAGUGAUGGUGGAUAUAAGAAACAUAAGAAGGAGAGGCGAUGUGAAAUACCUGGGACAUCUCAGAGGAAGGAUUUCGUGACUGAGACAACGAAAGAAUUUCAACAUAUACGAUGUGCAUAAAGAUAAUGUAGACAUAAUUCAAGGAAGUUUUUACAAACAGAAUGUAAACUUGAAUUCAAGGACUUAUUUGCAUGGUUAAAUGAGUUUAAGCGUCAUUUAAAUUAAUGCUUUCAUUCUUAGAUUAGACUCCUGAGAUAUAACCCUGCUGGAUAGUUAGUAGACAUCUUAGCAUUGUUGUUAUGUAUGCUAAAGGUGUACUUAACUUCUAAUAUAACAUAUUUUUGGAAAACAUGCAUAAAAUAUUUUCUAUCUCUGAGAUAUUUGAGCUUUCAGAGUAUCUGCAUUCAGAAUUGGCAGGCCAUGUUAAUAUGUAUAUUUUCAAAAUCCGUAUGGCACCCUUGAAGCCAAGUGUGAAAUUAACUCUACCUGAAUCACAUGUACUGAGUAGGAAAGGGUGGUCCCUAAGAAAACUACUACAAGAAGGUUGGAUGAAUGGACGGAUGGAUGGAUGGAUGGAUGCUAUUCUGGCAUAGUAAUAUAUAUGUCUAUUCCUCCCUCUUUUCCUCCCUUCCUUUCUUUCUCUCCUCCUCCAUUCCUUUCUUCUAACUUGAUAUUAGUGACUAAUAUGUAGCACUGUUAUAAAUACUGAAGAAUACAUUAAUUAAAAACAUGGUUCAUUACUGGAAGAUGAGUCUAGUGCCAAAAUACAGACCACAGCAAAACAGUACAAUAAGUGACUAUGGAGGCAUACACAGGGUACAAUGAAAGUAAUGAAGAGCGGGAGGUUGGGCUAUUUGCAUAUGGUGUCUGGGUUGAUUUUCUAAGGAGAUAAGAUUUAAAAUAUUUCAUGAAAUAUGGGUAGGAGUUAGCCAGAUAAAAGAGUGGAAUAAGGACUUUACCAAAACAUGGAAUAGAAUAUUUAGCAAACAAUUUGGUAUGGCUUCUUAUCUGUGGAUGAGAGUCAGAGGAAGCUGGGGAGUCAUUAACAGGACAUAUGAUAGGAAGUUUGGGUUUAUUCUAAUGACCAUUGUGAGGUUCUAAUGAGGCAAGGGAGAAUAAAUGAGUGUUAUUACAAAGCGUUAAGAC
rnacentral:lncRNA from 10 species